CAGCCGCCGCGGUAAUACGAAGGGGGCUAGUGUUGUUCGGAAUUACUGGGCGUAAAGCGCACGUAGGCGGAUCGAUCAGUCAGGGGUGAAAUCCCAGGGCUCAACCCUGGAACUGCCUUUGAUACUGUCGAUCUGGAGUAUGGAAGAGGUGAGUGGAAUUCCGAGUGUAGAGGUGAAAUUCGUAGAUAUUUGGAAGAACACCAGUGGCGAAGGCGACUGACUGGACAAGUAUUGACGCUGAGGUGCGAAAGCGUGGGGAGCAAACAGGAUUAGAUACCCCAGUAGUCCCUGUCUCUUAUAC
rnacentral:rRNA from 1 species